rnacentral:rRNA from 1 species
UGCGCAGGCGGAUUAAUAAGUCGGGGGUUAAAUCCAUGUGCUUAACACAUGCACGGCUUCCGAUACUGUUGAUCUAGAGUCUCGAAGAGGAAGGUGGAAUUUCCGGUGUAACGGUGGAAUGUGUAGAUAUCGGAAAGAACACCAGUGGCGAAGGCAGCCUUCUGGUCGAGUACUGACGCUUAUGCACGAAAGCGUGGGGGAGCAAACA